UUCAGAGAAAUGAAGGGAGUUGACUGUCGCUACAGAACUGAUCUUGGAAGUUUGGGUUCAGUGAACUUUGGGUGUUUCCAGAAAGCUCACCACAUAUUCCUCUGAAGCAGAUAUCCAGGAACCAAAUCUUGCUACAAUUGCACAACGAUGUCUACGUGAGGGUCUUUGGUGCGUUCCUGUCCCAGAAGUGUGGACCUUGGGUGAGACUCUCAUCCUGUUGCCACUUCUGU